AUUGAACGCUGGCGGCAUGCCUUACACAUGCAAGUCGAACGGUAACGGGCCUUCGGGUGCCGACGAGUGGCGAACGGGUGAGUAAUACAUCGGAACGUGCCCGAUCGUGGGGGAUAACGAGGCGAAAGCUUUGCUAAUACCGCAUACGAUCUACGGAUGAAAGCAGGGGACCGCAAGGCCUUGCGCGGACGGAGCGGCCGAUGGCAGAUUAGGUAGUUUGUGGGAUGAAAGCUUACCAAGCCGACGAUCUGUAGCUGGUCUGAGAGGAUGAUCAGCCACACUGGGACUGAGACACGGCCCAGACUCCUACGGGAGGCAGCAGUGGGGAAUUUUGGACAAUGGGCGCAAGCCUGAUCCAGCCAUGCCGCGUGCAGGAUGAAGGCCUUCGGGUUGUAAACUGCUUUUGUACGGAACGAAAAGCCUUCUUUUAAUACAGGAGGGUCAUGACGGUACCGUAAGAAUAAGCACCGGCUAACUACGUG
rnacentral:rRNA from 1 species